GCCGGGAUGGUGGAACUGGAAGACACGCUACUUUGAGGGGGUAGUGGGCGAAAGCCUGUGCGGGUUCGAGUCCCGCUCCCGGCA
rnacentral:tRNA from 1 species